rnacentral:rRNA from 1 species
GACGAACGCUGGCGGCGCGCUUAACACAUGCAAGUCGAGCGAUGAAACUUUAACAGAACCCUUCGGGGCGAAGAUAAAGUGGAUUAGCGGCGGACGGGUGAGUAACACGUGAUUAACCUGCCUUUGACAUUGGGAUAGCCUCGGUAAACCGGGAUUAAUACCAAAUAAAAUCAUAAUGACACAUGUCAUAACGAUCAAAACUCCGGUGGUCUAAGAUGGACUUUCGUCACAUUAGCUAGUUGGUAGAGUAAAAGCCUACCAAGGCGACGCAGGGUAGCCGGCAGGGGAGGCGGCACGGCUAGAAUGGAACUGAGGACCAGUCCGAAAUCCUAGGCAAGGGAGGAGUGGAGAAUACAGCGCGAUGGAGGGAGCUCUGACGCAGCGACGCGGGGUAAACGAAGAAGGGUUUUGAGUAGUGCAGUUCUUUGAUAUGGAGAGAUAAUGACGGUACCAUAAGAAGAAGCACCGGCUAACUACGUG